rnacentral:rRNA from 1 species
AUUGAACGCUGGCGGCAUGCCUUACACAUGCAAGUCGAACGGCAGCGCGGGGCAACCUGGCGGCGAGUGGCGAACGGGUGAGUAAUAUAUCGGAACAUACCCUAGAGUGGGGAUAACGUAGCGAAAGUUACGCUAAUACCGCAUACGCACUAAGGUGGAAAGUGGGGGAUCUUCGGACCUCAUGCUCAUGGAGUGGCCGAUAUCUGAUUAGCUAGUUGGUGAGGUAAAGGCUCACCAAGGCGACGAUCAGUAGCUGGUUUGAGAGAACGACCAGCCACACUGGAACUGAGACACGGUCCAGACUCCUACGGGAGGCAGCAGUGGGGAAUUUUGGACAAUGGGGGCAACCCUGAUCCAGUAAUGCCGCGUGAGUGAAGAAGGCCUUC